UCUGUUUCAAGGUUUUAAGGGGUGAUUUCUGAGACCUCACGGUCGAUGAAGACUUCAACAUAUCGGAGACUCUUCUGAGUCCUUCAUCGUGAUAUCGGAGUUUAUUUUCUUCUCCUGAACAUUCCGGAAGAUUUUAUGAUGAUUUUUGGUUGAUUUUGGGUGACCUAUCGGCUUCUAGGGUUUCUGACGGUUUAAACUGAGGUUUUACUGUAUUCCGGUGGCUCGAUUGUCACUUUGUGGACGCCGUGGGUGCAUUUCCGACGUUCCUGACCAGAUUUCCGGUAAAGUUUGUUUUCAAGGUUACACCUAAGGUUUGAUACCUAGGGUUUCUGUGUUGUUUGAAGACCGAUCUUCUCCGGUCGCGAAGAAGGAGGGUAACUCAUUUCCGACGUUCCUGACCAGAUUUCCGGAAAAGUUUGUUUUCAAGGUUAUACCUAAGGUUUGAUACCUAGGGUUUCUCUGUUGUUUGAAGGCCGAUCUUCUCCGGUCGCGAAGAAGGAGGGUAACUCUGUCCUUAUCUUCGG
rnacentral:lncRNA from 1 species